rfam:Larimichthys crocea isolate SSNF unplaced genomic scaffold scaffold906, whole genome shotgun sequence.
UUAUAAUCGGGAACAGUGUUUCCCAUAAUGU